rnacentral:rRNA from 1 species
AGUGAACGCUGGCGGUAUGCCUAACACAUGCAAGUCGAACGGCAGCACAGUAAGAGCUUGCUCUUACGGGUGGCGAGUGGCGGACGGGUGAGGAAUACACCGGAAUCUACUUUUUCGCGGGGGAUAACGUAGGGAAACUUACGCUAAUACCGCAUACGACCUACGGGUGAAAGCAGGGGAUCUUCUGACCUUGCGCGAUUGAAUGAGCCGAUGUCGGAUUAGCUAGUUGGCGGGGUAAAGGCCCACCAAGGCGACGAUCCGUAGCUGGUCUGAGAGGAUGAUCAGCCACACUGGAACUGAGACACGGUCCAGACUCCUACGGGAGGCAGCAGUGGGGAAUAUUGGACAAUGGGCGCAAGCCUGAUCCAGCAAUACCGCGUGGGUGAAGAAGGCCUUCGGGUUGUAAAGCCCUUUUGUUGGGAAAGAAAAGCAGCAGGUUAAUACCCCGCUGUUAUGACGGUACCCAAAGAAUAAGCACCGGCUAACUUCGUG